AUUGAACGCUGGCGGCAGGCCUAACACAUGCAAGUCGAACGAGCGGCGGACGGGUGAGUAAUGUCUGGGAAACUGCCUGAUGGAGGGGGAUAACUACUGGAAACGGUAGCUAAUACAGCAUACCAUCAGAUGUGCCCAGAUGGGAUUAGCUAGUAGGUGGGGUAACGGCUCACCUAGGCGACGAUCCCUAGCUGGUCUGAGAGGAUGACCAGCCACACUCGAACUGAGCCACCGUCCAGACUCCUACGUGAGGCAGCAGUGGGGAAUAUUGCACGAUGGGCGCACGCCUGAUGCAGCCAUGCCGCGUGUAUGAAGAAGGCCUUCGGGUUGUAAAGUACUUUCAGCGGGGAGGCGUUACCCGCAGAAGAAGCACCGGCUAACUCCGUGCCAGCAGCCGCGUAAUUC
rnacentral:rRNA from 1 species